UACGGAGGGUGCAAGCGUUGUCCGGAAUCACUGGGCGUAAGGGCGCGUAGGCGGCUCGGUAAGUAGGGGGUGAAAUCCUGCGGCUUAACCGCAGGGCUGCCUUCUAAACUGUCGAGCUCGAGCACGGUAGAGGCAGAUGGAAUUCCCGGUGUAGCGGUGGAAUGCGUAGAGAUCGGAAAGAACACCAACGGCGAAAGCACUCUGCUGGGCCGACACUGACACUGACGAGACGAAAGCUAGGGGGAGAAUGGG
rnacentral:rRNA from 1 species